UACGAAGGGGGCUAGCGUUGUUCGGAAUCACGUUGGGACGUAAAGCGUUCGUAGGUCGGCUCUAUAAGUCGGGAUUGUGAAAUUCCCACGGCUCAACCGUGGAAGUGCAUUCGAAAACUGCAGAGCUUGAAUAUGGUUAGAGGGGUAGUAAGAAUUCCUGGUGUAGUGGUGAAAAUACGUAGAUAUCAGGAGGAAUACCGGUGGCGAAGGCGGCUACCUGGACCAAAUAUUACGUGAGGAACGAAAGUGCGGGGAUCAAACAGGA
rnacentral:rRNA from 1 species